GGGACCAGUGAUGAUGGUGGGAAGCUCAGGAGUCAAGGAUGAUGAAAAUCUGUGUCUGAAACUCUGGGAUCUCA
ensembl:snoRNA